CCUACGGGAGACAGCAGUGAGGAAUAUUGGUCAAUGGCCGUAAGGCUGAACCAGCCAAGUAGCGUGAGGGAAGACUGCCCUAUGGGUUGUAAACCCCUUCUAUGCGGGGAUAAAGGUGUCCACGUGUGGAUGUUUGCAGGUACCGCAUGAAUAAGGACCGGCUAAUUCCGUGCCAGCAGCCGCGGUAAUCCGGAAGGUCAGGGCGUUAUCCGGCUUGAAUGGGUUUAAAGGGAGCGUAGUCCGGUCUUUAAGCGUGCCGUGAAAUUUUGUGGCUCAACCAUGAGAGUGCGGCGGAGACUGGAGACCUUGAGUGCGCGGAAGGCAGGCGGAAUUCGUGGUGUAGCGGUGAAAUGCUUAGAUAUCACGAAGAACCCCGAUUGCGAAGGCAGCCUGCCGCAGCGUUACUGACGCUGAGGCUCGAAAGCGCGGGUAUCGAACAGGAUUAGAUACCCGUGUAGUC
rnacentral:rRNA from 1 species